GGGAAGUUAGCUCAACUGGUAGAGCAUUAGGUUGAAGCCCUAAGUGUAAGUGGUUCAACUCCACUACUUCCCA
rnacentral:tRNA from 1 species